UUUUUUUUAUUUGCUAACUCAAGUGAAUAGCAAAAUAGUCAAGAUAAUUUGGCUUUGUUAUGCUAUAAUCCUAUACACAGCUAACACUUGUUUUGUUUGGGGAUUUUUCAUGUGAUUAUUUUGUUCAUAUAUGCCAAUUUUGACUGUCAUUUCACCAUCUUUACUACUUUGAGUGCUCAGUAAACGCAAUUUUCAGGUCUGUAUUUAGGGGGCGGGGGGAGGAAUGGUCAAUACAAUGUAGAUCCCUUGGUGUAAACAGUGUUCUCACAAACAAAUUUUGUUUGUGAUUAGACCAUUUGUGAUACAACUACCUCAGAGAUAUAUUGAAAACUGAUUUCUCUAGUUAGGCAUUUUCCUAAUGUCAGAAAAAAGGACAUGCUCGUGAAUAGCAUGGUAGGAAGGUAUAACAUACCUUUUCAAUAGGGUAAUAAAACCUAGCUCUGUGUUGGAAGUGCAAUUAUCCGUUUCGAAUGUCAUUUUAAUAUGUUUUGGGGUUUCUUAUACUAUUCCUAUUGAGUUCCAAGGUGUAGAGUCCUAAAUUGUGGCUCGAAACCUGAAGUUAACUUUUUCCCCAUCAGCAGUAAAAAAAUCUUUGUGGACAGUAUGAUGUUUGAGUGGCAACAGUAUACAUGUAGAAUUAAUGAUGGCUGCUACUAUGUAGUUGCUUGUCUGACAAAUGUCUCAUGUUUGGUUUAUAACCGCAUUGAAUUUAGUAAAUUUCCUUCAAACAGCAGUUUUGUUGUUCAUUUUGGAUAAAUGGUUUAAAAUGCAAUUUUUGCAUCCUUCUCCUUGGUUUUCAGUGUUAAUAGAAUAUGUUCUGAGGGGAAACGUUCUUAGUUCUGACCCUUUUUAUACAUUAGACAUUUUAACAUUUAAUCUUUUGGUCUUGUUGACACACAUAGCUGCCCACACGAAUUCCUUCUAAAUACCAACUUUGUAUUUUCAUCUGUCACAAAGUUUACUCACUGGACUGGAAACUUCACAGUACAAAUUUAGUUUAAUUAAGCAGUGUUUCACACACAAGUUGUGAUCCAACAUUUACUAAUUUCUUCCAAUACAAGCCAUAUAUCACAAGUGUAGCUGCAGUUUAAAAUGGUUAUAAUUUUUUUUUCUAUUCCUGUAUGCAACAUAGGUGCAAACUUUGAUACAUACUUUAAAACAGACUCACACAUGUACUGUUGGCUAAUCUAAUGCUAUUUUCAACUUUUGGGUGUAGUGGGAUUAUUGCAUUUCUGAUUUUGCACCUUGUGUAGUGUAGUAUCCAGCUGCUAUGACCAACAUAGCAUUUCGUCGUCAUUUUUAUUUGGGUUUAGGACAGGGGUUCUCAACGUUAGUCCUCAGCACCUUAGAGUCAAAGGUGUUUUUUUCCCCCUUUUUCUAAACACCUUAGACACACCCAGGUAAUCCCCAAAUCCUGGACUGGUAGGGGGUCCCGAGGACUGGGUUGAGAACCCCUGGUUUAGGAGAUCUGAAAGUAGUUCUUCCAAAAGACUGUCUAUUCAGCAAUAAUAAUUUUCCAACGCAGAUGCGCCCUCUGUGCUGCCUAGCUCUCCAGUAACAUCUACGAAAAGAUGGCGUCCUCUGCGAUGGUUCUAUCCAGUGCUCCUUGUAGGCAUAUGCAGCGAGUGCCGUGUACACACCCACACUUACCAAUAGGAACUUCUUGCAGUUUUACUAGGUCAAUACAGUGGAUGCUCCUCAAGUGGCGGUUAGGAAGACAGGCACAAUAGAUAGAUUUAACCCUGUAGUGUCCUAUUAAAGGUAUUACUGAAGAGAUAUUUAUUCUUAAAUAUUAUUCUUAAAGUAGCACUGUCAACCCUCCCCCCUGCAAAGUGAGAAUUUUGUAAACGUAACAUCAUACUCCUAUUGACUUUGUUGAAAUUUCACUGAAAUUACAACUAAUUAAAAAAUAUUCUUAGACAAAGUAGGACUAAUUUGUCUCAGUAUUUUUUUUUACAUCUGACCCUUAAGAAUGGCUGGAGCUACUGCCAUCAAGAAGUGUUAAUCCCCUGUCGUCACCAAUGUGCACAGCUGCAGGGGAAUUUUCUCUACUAUGGAGGGUGUUGAGACAUGCUCCAUAGACCUCUGUGCAGUACUCACGGCAAAAGUGACGUCAACUCUUAGUAUCUGAUGUGCCGGUUGCAGAAGAGGUCCUGACUGAAAAGAAUGGUGGCGCCUGCGAGGGACAGUUCAAAGUAAGUAGAACUCAUCUUUGCCUGCCCCUAUUGGAAAUACUGUGCGUAAUUGUAAUUCUGCCUUUAGUUGUAUGAUUCUAAAAGAUCUACAACCAAUCCCUUUUAAAAAAUGAUGACCAAUGAUUUGGAACUCAAGAACGCUGUCUUUAAAAUAUGUAGAUAUCUGGUCAUAAUGUCAAUUACUGUAACUAAUUGCUAUAGCUUGAAGAAAACACUUUGAGGGGGGAAAAGUUUACCUUAUUUUUUUUAAUUUUUUUAAAAUCAUUUAGUGUGCAAAUAAUUUAAACUGCAAGCAUGUACGUAUAUAUGCAAUUUUUUUUAUCUAUAUAUAAUUUUUAUAUAUAUAUAUGCAGAGAUUUUAUAUAUUUUUACUCUGAAUUUUGCCUUUAUUUCCCUGUGGAAAUGCUUUCAAUUUAAUUUAUUCUACAGUUAUUAAUCUAAUUUCUUAAAAAGUAAAUUAUGAACUGCUAGAUGAGAAUGUACUAGUGUGCAUUCUAAUUUAACUGAAGCAGUUUUUUGGCCUGCAUACACUACUUACUCUAAAUUCUGUACAUAAACUGUGUAAAUUAAAUAAUCUGAAAUACAAAUAGAAAUAUAUUCUUGAGUUUCACCAAAUGAUAACAUAAAAUCCUGUUUAUAUUAGCAAUGCCUGAUAGUUUGAUUCCUCUAUCAUUGCUCUCUGUUUAUAUAACUUGUAUUUAUGAAUUAUGACUGUAAGGCUUAAUUUUCUUGUAAAUACAAAAUAUUCUUUAUUUUUUCUUGAUCCAUUUUUGCUAGGGCGGGCCCUCUUCUGUCCUUUCCUUUACUGUGUUUUUAUAUCUUUGUCCUUCUGUAGUACAAUCUAAAAUACAAUGUAACACUCCACUUGGAAACUUAAAAGAGUGCAUGCACAGUUGCUGUUGCAAGUAACUAAGAUGUUAGUAGUGCAAAGACCCUUUAUGGGAUACUAUUUUUUUUAAAUUCGGGGAUGUACUGGAUGGGUUCAAAUAAUGCUGCUGUUACUUAAAUAAUUGUUCUCAUUCAGAAAAAGAAUGUACCUUUUUGGUAAAGGAACACUCCAGGGUGUAUUUAUGAUUAGAAUUAAAGUGAAAUAUUUACUUUUUGUUCCUUUUUUCUUCUUUGAUCUAAUCUUUAGCUGCUUGGGGCCUCAUUCUAGCAGCCUUGUCACUGGUGUUCAGUCACACAUGUGACUAACAAUACAUGGGUGUAAGGAAGAUCACGUGAGUACAUGAAAUUCUCCAUAGCUUCUUGUGCAUGUGCAGUAAGAUGCCCAUAACAUCUAUUGCACAUUGCUCAACACGGUGGUUGUUCUCAUCGGGAGGCAGUGAUUUGUGGGAAAUGGCAAGAAGUGAAGGCAGAAGAAGCCACAUUUUACCAAAUAAAAAAUCUUGUCCAGAAGACAAAGUAAUCCUUGUUUUGUUUUAUAAGAUCUACUGAUUGCAGUGGAAUUUCUAUGAAAUCAAGUUUGUUUUUUUUUACCUCUUUUGUGUUUUUUUUGGUGAGCGUUCUCUUUACAUGCGUGAUAUUGUUAAUGCCUUAAAUGAAAAAUUCUAAAAUCUUGCUUCCAAAUGUUUUGUUUGUUUUUACUUUUUCUUCAUUCGAGUUACCUUCUUGAUUUCACACUGAGACCAGGAGCUGACUGAGAUUGCACUUCGUUCCUUGCCUCCAAUACUUUCUGUGAGAAAAUUUGUAAGUUCUCCAACUGAAUUAAGAGACUGCUUGCUUACAUGUACCAUUCAGCCCAAAACAGCAUUUUAUUAAUUGAAGAAAUUAAAAAAAUAAUCAUCCCAGCGAAUGCAAGCCGCAGGCAGCUUUCAUUCAUGUGCAAUCUGUCCUUGAUUUUUGGUUACAAAUCGGUACCUAGGACUUUCUGGGCUAAUUACAUCUGACUUAGUUUCUAGUCAGGGAGAUUCCCUACUUUUGGAGGUAAGUGAGCAGAAUGGUGGAGCCAGACUACUUGGAGAAACCAAUCCAAACAAAGUGGACAAUUUUGAGCAAGCAUACGAAAGCAGAUUAUUUUACUGUGAGUUUUAAUAUGCAUCAGUGCUAACAAAGUACCUGGAGUGUUACUUUUAAAGGGUUAUUCCAGGCUCCAUGACCAGUUCAGUAACUUAAAAUGGUCAUGGUGCCUGGAGUCUGUCUGAGCAGCAUUUCACUUUGAAACACAGCACGUACAUUUUGUGCAAAUUGCGAUGCACAGAAUCUAAUUCAUAGUUCAGAGCUCUAAACCAGUGAAUGAGUGUCAGGAUCGGCAGCAAUCUUUUGCUGGAUGUCUUAAACCCAGUUUCAGAGGACCUUCUGUGCCCGACAGGACCAUGUAAGAGGACAUGCCAUUGUAAAAUGGUUUGCUCCAUUACUGGGAUUCUCUUUACUUCAUAAACAUUAUAGCAGGCUGUAGUGAUUAUGUUGGUUGGAGUAACCCUUUAGCUAUAAAUGUUACAGUACAUUAAAUCUUGUACCAGAUGCAGUGCAGUUUGUAGCUUGUUUUAAACGUCUGUCUGCUCUCCAACUCUGUAUUGUAUAUCGUUUUUUAUCCAUUUUCAAAAAAUUUAUGUGGAUAUCACAUCUCAUAUAUAUAUAUAUAUAUAUAUAUAUAUAUAUAUAUAUAUAUAUAUAUAUAUAUAUAUAUAUAUAUAUUUAUAUUUUCAGGACCUAGCAACGGUUAUUUGUUGGCAGCUCUAGAAUUAACUUAAAGGGACACUAUAGUCAUUAAAACAACUUUAGCUUAAUGAACCAGUUUUGGUAUAUAUUCCAUGCCCAUGCAGUCUGACUGCUCAAUUGUUUGCCUUUUAGGAGUUAAAUCACUUUGUUUAUGCAGCCUCAGUCACACCUCUUUGCAUGUGAGUCACAUGUAAAGUGAGAUAUCAUGUUUAUACUAUCAUUUAUUGUGCAGACUGUUCAAUUUAGAAUUGCUUAUCUCAUGAACUGUUAAUAGGAGCCUCGUAUGUGUGAUGAAAAUAUAAUUUAAAGAACAGGAUAUAAAAACUUCUCAAGCAAGUUAAGGUCUGAUUUGAAAAUGAAACCUUUUUUUCAUGCAGGCUUGGCAGUCAUAGGAGGUGUGAAGAUGGCUGCAGCAUAAAAAGUAACAAGAAUGUUUAUUAUCUGGCAGGGAAUUGAGCAGUAAGACUACUGUGGUAUGAUCUACACAUGAAAACUGCUAAGGUUUAUUUGGUGACCAUAGUGUCCCUUUGAAAUGUGUACUGACACAUUUAUAAAGCCUCUGCAGUACAUAAAAUCUGUAUGCAUUUUCCUUUCGUUCUUCAUAUCCUCCUGCUGGAUUAUAGUAAACUCCCUUUUGGGAUGUGUACAAAAAUAUAUAUUUUUUUUCUCAAACUCACACAUAUAAAUAUAAUGCCACAAUAUAACAGCCUUUGACUAUACACACAUACAUGUUACAAUAUGAUUUCGCAGUGGAGUACCUUAUUUUAAUAUAGUUAACAUUUUAAUUUUUGUUCAUAUAACAGUAGCAGUAUGCAACUGCAUUUCAAGAAGUCACAUCAAUUGCGCCUGUGGUGGAAUCAGUGUUUCUGGCAGCAUUGACCCUCCUUGUGGUCUAGUAUGGAAUAGAAAAUUACACACAUCUUUCUGAUAAUCCUACCUUCCUUGACUACCAUAUAGUAGACCAACACCUUCAGUCACAUCCUGACACAGUGCCAAGUGGGAUUGUGUGAUCUAGUUUCUCCUAUUCCCUCUGCUCUGCAUAGAAAGUUAUUCACUGGAUAUGGAGAGGAGGAUGAACACCUUGUAAGGACAAGUCAAUGAGCUUAGUGAUUUACCAAUUGAAUACAACCAAAGGAAAUCUGAUAUGUGUUAGGUUAACAUUCCAUUUUAACCAGUCUGUAAUAUGUUGUCAGAGGUCUUAAUAGAACGCUGUUUCUUCGUUUUUUGUGGGAGUUAGGUUUUAAUUUUUAUUUAACACAUUCAGACUACAAUAGCUCUGGAUAUUAAAAGUGAAAAUAUCCAUAACUGAAUGUAAUGGUUAUGUAUGAUAACUGACAUUCCUGAUGCAUUUAUUUUUUGCCUAAAGUGUCUUAAGUCUUAUAUUGUUUGUGUUUCUCCUUUGUAACAUCUAAUGAAGUCAAUAAAACAAAGUUUGAGAAAAUUUACACUGUAUUAAACAUUUUUUUGUUUGGUUUUUUUUUUUGUUUGCUUCCCUCCCUCCCCAAACUCUUUAAGGACCAAGUCAAUUGUACACAUUCUG